rnacentral:rRNA from 1 species
GCACCUUCGGGUGAGUGGCAGACGGGUGAGUAACGCGUGGGAACCUACCCAUUGGUACGGAAUAACCCGGGGAAACCCGAGCUAAUACCGUAUACGCCCUCGGGCUUUGCCCUUGGGGAAAGAUUCAUCGCCGAUGGAUGGGCCCGCGUCGGAUUAGCUUGUUGGUGUGGUAACGGCGCACCAAGGCGACGAUCCGUAGCUGGUCUGAGAGGAUGAUCAGCCACACUGGGACUGAGACACGGCCCAGACUCCUACGGGAGGCAGCAGUGGGGAAUAUUGGACAAUGGGCGCAAGCCUGAUCCAGCCAUGCCGCGUGAGUGAAGAAGGCCUUAGGGUUGUAAAUCUCUUUCGGCGGGGAAGAUAAUGACGGUACCCGCAGAAGAAGCCCCGGCUAACUCCGUGCCAGCAGCCGCGGUAAUACGGAGGGGGCUAGCGUUGUUCGGAAUUACUGGGCGUAAAGGGCACGUAGGCUGGCUGUUAAGUCGGGGGUGAAAUCCUGAGGCUCAACCUCAGAAUUGCCUCCGAUACUGGCGGUCUCGAGUGCGGGAGAGGUGAGUGGAAUUCCCAGUGUAGAGGUGAAAUUCGUAGAUAUUGGGAAGAACACCAGUGGCGAAGGCGGCUCACUGGCCCGCAACUGACGCU